rnacentral:rRNA from 1 species
CUUACGGGGGGCAGCAGUGAGGAAUAUUGGUCAAUGGUCGGGAGACUGAACCAGCCAAGCCGCGUGAGGGAUGAAGGUACAGAUUAUCGUAAACCUCUUUUGUCAGGGAACAAAGGCGGGGACGCGUCCCCGGAUGAGUGUACCUGAAGAAAAAGCAUCGGCUAACUCCGUGCCAGCAGCCGCGGUAAUACGGAGGAUGCGAGCGUUAUCCGGAUUUACUGGGUGUAAAGGGAGCGCAGACGGCAGUGCAAGUCUGGAGUGAAAGCCCGGGGCCCAACCCCGGAACUGCUCUGGAAACUGUGCGG